rnacentral:tRNA from 1 species
GGAGCGUACGUCUCAAGGUGAGACAGGGGACUGUAAAUCCCUGACCCUUAACGGGUAGAGAGGUUCGAUUCCUCUACGCUCCACCA